UUGUAUUGAAUGUUGAAAAAUUGAUUAUUGUCAAAUGUGUUCAAUUUGAUUUUCGUUGCAUCAGGAACGGAUUUUUAAUAUAGUAAAAAUCCCCCUAAUUCCACUUGCCUUGAAUUUUGUUGCAGCGAAAUUCCUUUUUCAUUGCGGCGAGAAACUUUCGUGUGUGCGGGGCAGACACUAUUCUCUCUGCAGCGAAAUUCCAUUUUUGUCGCGACGAGAAACUUUGUCACGACUCGAAACUCCCAUCGGGCCCAUGACAAUGGUCGCGACAUCCCGAUAGGCACUCAUUACCCCGAAUGCCGAUCGGAACCCCACAAGGCUUAGCAUCAGCUUUCGCAUCUCCCUGGUGAGCGACAGUUAUUAAAUCUCGCAUUACAAGAAAUCAUAAGUCGUUUCCAAAUCAAAACAAUAAAAUAUUAUUUUCUGGCUCACAAGGGCAUUUUCGUCAUUUUUCGUUGAAAAUCUCAAAACUUGCUAAAAAUGUAGUAGGUAAGUAAAAAAUAUAUAUUUAGUGAUUUAAAAACAAAUUAAGUAUCUAAAACGUUCAUUUGUAGUGAAAAUUUGACCAUUUGAAUAUAAUAAAAAUAUUCAAUAAAAUAAGCUAUUUUCUUGUAAAAUAAUUUUUAUAAAGCUAUCGGUAAAUAAUUCUUAUAGUGUAAAAGUUAAUUAUAUUCAUAUAUACUAUAAAGCAAAUAACCAAAGUAUAAAAUUACUUUUACAGCGACACGUGGGCCCACAUCUAACCAAAAUGCAUCGGAAGCUGAAAACUUACAACUUUUGCCGAUUCAAGUCCAAAUGAAGGUCCUUAUCAAAGUCAGCUAACUAUGAAAUUCUUCGAGCCUGAAAUGUGAGGAAAUGAGGGUGGUGAGAUUAUAAAAUCCCAGUGAGUAAACAAUUACCAUAAAAAACAUCUAAAGCCGAGUAGAUGAAGACAAUAUAAAAACGUUAUAUCUCAAUAAUGUUCAUAACGCAAAAUUCGUUUCAAUCUAUACCAAACAAUUUCUUUUUGUCAAAAUUUCUCGACUUAUGGAUUUUUUAAACUUGGCCGCUGUCAAAAUCAUUCUUGCGGGUACCUUCGUCAAGGUAUCCCAUUGAGACCGCCAAGGCUGUUAAAUGUCUCAUACCCAUAAGCAUGUUUUCGCAUCUGACAUACAGCUGUUCCUUGGCGUUGGCUGAGUCUCACACUCACGUGGUGACCCGAACGUGAGGUGCACUCAAAUCUUACCUCAGAAGAUACUUUAUCCAACAUCUUCCCCCCCACCGGAGGUAAAUAUAUAAUUGGGUUACCGUGCCCCUCUCAUAGGCAGUCCACGAAAACCCCCAUCACUGCAGUGACUGUUUAAUAUACCACCAGACCCAUAAAAUUUUCAAUAGCAUAACAUGGUGAAUAAAAUUUAAUCCAGUCUACCGAGACCAAUCCAAAACUGUUCAUAUAUUUCAUGUCAACUCCAAAAAUUUAGCCAUCAUGCUAUCAUAGUGUCAUAAGCCACAGUUUCAAUAACAUAUAAAAUCAUAAAUUCAACACAGUCUCCAUAUACUUAAUUUUCCCAAAACAAUGUUUGAUUUCAAAAUCAGUAUAAAUUUCAUUUUUAUUAAAAAAAAUUUUAAUUGAAAAAUAUAAUAUUUUAUAAUUUAAACUCACCAUUUAAUAAAGGCAUCAAACAAAUAUAAUUACUCUAGAUAUUUAAGACGAUAAAUUGUCCACUCACAGUUCUAGGAGUCAAUGUACUCAUAAUCUCAAUCUUCAAGCACAAUCUCUGUACUUUUACCAGUGUAAUUUGCUCACCACCUAUCCACAAUGUACAAUACGUAAUUCACCACAUUAAUGCUUGACCAUUAUAAAAUCAAUUCAGGCUCAGUGUAUAUGCAUGAUAUGAUAUGCAACUUAUCCGACUACCGUUUAAAUGUGGUGCUGACCUAAUUCGGCCUAUUACCUGAUUAAAUGACCAUUGUGUUCGAUUUGGCUCCAAAUUGCUCCAUUUCAUUUCUAAUAUUUCAAUUCUCUAAAUACAAUUCCAAUAACACCAAUUUCAGCAUCAAAACCCUCCCAUUUCUUCAUGAAAAAAUUCAGCCAUUAUAGUGUACUAACACCAUGAUUUUUCCUACUUAAUUUUCUCACCAUUAUUCAUCAUUUUCUAAGCCAUUUCUCUUGAAAUAAUAACAAUCCAUCACCCACACACAUCAAGGAAGAUUCGGCCAAUGAAGAUUCAUGGGGAAAAUGGAUUCUUUUCUUGUUGUUUUGUUUCUAAAUAUGCUAAACUAACUAAAAACACUAACAUAUCUUAAAAUCAAAUCAAUCCAACAUCUUUCUCUCUCCUUACCCAUUUUGACCAGCCAUGAAUUCAUCAUGAAAACAUGUAAUUUAAGCAUGGAAAAUAAGGAUAAAUGCUUAAGGAAAAUAGGUUUCAAGCUUAGGUUGAAAAAUCCUACCUUUUUCACUUGUUUUCCUUGAUUUUUCACACUUUUUCUCUUGAAAUUCUUUCCUAGGGUUUGUUCUUCCUUUCUUUCCCUCUCUUCCUUGCUUGGC
rnacentral:lncRNA from 1 species